rnacentral:rRNA from 1 species
ACGGCUGAGUAACGCGUAGGAACACACCCUGCAGUGAGGGAUAAGACACCGAAAGGUGUUCUAAUACCGCAUACGGUCUUCGGAUUAAAGCAUUUAUGCGCUGAAGGAGUGGCCUGCGUCAUAUUAGAUAGUUGGUGAGGUAAUGGCUUACCAAGUCGAUGAUGUGUAGCUGGUCUGAGAGGAUGAUCAGCCAGACUGGAACUGAGACACGGUCCAGACUCCUACGGGAGGCAGCAGUGAGGAAUAUUUCACAAUGAGCGAAGGCUUGAUGGAGCAAUGCCGCGUGCAGGAUGAAGGCCCUCGGGUUGUAAACUGCUUUUAUAAGAGAAGACUAUGACGGUAACUUAUGAAUAAGGGACGGCUAACUACGUGCCAGCAGCCGCGGUCAUACGUAGGUCCCGAGCGUUAUCCGGAGUGACUGGGCGUAAAGAGUUGCGUAGGCGGUCAAGUUAGCGAGUGAUGAAAACUAUCGGCUCAACCGAUAGCUUGUUGUUCGAACUGCUUGACUCGAGAGUAUCAGAUGUCGCUGGAAUUCCUAGUGUAGCAGUGAAAUGCGUAGAUAUUAGGAAGAACACCGAUGGCGUAUGCAGGCGACUGGGAUAUUUCUGACGCUAAGGCACGAAAGCGUGGGUAGCGAACCGGAUUAGAUACCCGGGUAGUCCACGCCGUAAAC